AGUGAACGCUGGCGGUAGGCCUAACACAUGCAAGUCGAACGGCAGCACAGUAAGAGCUUGCUCUUACGGGUGGCGAGUGGAGGACGGGUGAGGAAUACAUCGGAAUCUACUUUUUCGUGGGGGAUAACGUAGGGAAACUUACGCUAAUACCGCAUACGACCUACGGGUGAAAUCAGGGGAUCUUCGGACCUUGCGCGAUUGAAUGAGCCGAUGUCGGAUUAGCUAGUUGGCGGGGUAAAGGCCCACCAAGGCGACGAUCCGUAGCUGGUCUGAGAGGAUGAUCAGGCACACUGGAACUGAGACACGGUCCAGACUCCUACGGGAGGCAGCAGUGGGGAAUAUUGGACAAUGGGCGGAAGCCUGAUCCGGCCAUACCGCGUGGGUGCAGAAGGCCUUCGGGUUGUAAAACCCUUUUGUUGGGAAAGAAAAGCAGCAGGUUAAUACCCCGCUGUUCUGACGGUACCCAAAGAAUAAGCACCGGCUAACUUCGUG
rnacentral:rRNA from 1 species